rnacentral:tRNA from 1 species
GCCUUGGUGGUGAAAUAGCAUCACGUCGGUUUGUGGAUCCGAAGUCGUAGGAGCGUAACCUACCCAAGGUACCA